ensembl:lncRNA
GUUCCACGGCGCCGGGAGCAGCAGGCAGAGCCGACCACGUGGCAGUGACGCCCGCCUGCGGCUGCCCGCGAGACGGGAGCGCCAGAAAUGCGCGCAAGCGCACACGGGCAGCUCCGUAAGCUUCAGGCCCACGCCGCGCAGGCGCGCUCCUGUUCGCUCGGCUGCGUGGGAGCGGAAUCCGGGAGCCCAGCCUGGACUUGAGGCAGGUCGGGAAGAUGCUGGGCACCAGCACUGCCUGCAGGGACAGAAGAAAAACUCUCUGAAGGAUUGUGCGGCAGUGGCUCGGCCCCGCGAGGUCACACACUCACUGAUUUGUGAGCAAAACGGAGACCAGUGUCUACUUUACGGUAACGACCCUCCCAGCAGGCCGCACCUUGACCUUCUGGACGUGGUGUCCCACAGUUUCGUUCACAAGGCAUUGGUGGAGCGCCGUGCCACUCUGGCAGCCAAGGAGCAUAAGCCACGGCUCAAGGCCCAGAGGUAGGACCAGCGGGACCAAACUGCAGGGUGCAAGGGGCAGCAGCGAGAGGCCCAGAAGAGGAAGAGCCUGGUGGACAUGAAGAGGGCACGGGCAGAGGCGAGGCCAACAGGGACAGUGAUGCUGAGGACCCUCGACUAACUGCGAACCGAAUUCCUGAAAAUGUAAUCAUCACUUCUUAAAAGCUGAUGUGGGCUGUUUGUAUCGCACAAGCAUUAUGGGAGACAACCAUUUUAUUGUGCAAAAGGAUGUUAUUUGGAAAUUCAGAAAGGACACAGCCAAAGCAAGUCACAUGGCCAAGCCUGGAUUCGAGAUGUGGGGAAUUCAACUCUACCUCUUUAGUGGGCAGAACUGCAAAAUCACAUGUCAGAGAGCAUGGUUACAGGGAGAGUAAAGAAUUCAAAAAUUUAAGGAAAUUAAUUCAUUCCCUCAGAAGAAGAAACUGAGGCUUAAAGGAUUUAAAUCAGUUGUCCAAGUUCACGUGUCUAGUGCAUUGUAGAGUCAGAAUUAAAACCAAGGAUUAUCAGAUUCCAGAGCUAUGAUCCAACACAUACUGACCUUUCUUUCCAAUAAAAGGUCUUUCUUCCCUUGUCUUCUAUAACACAACUUCCCUGGCACUGCUCGUAACUCACUAGUGAUCAGUUAUGUCUCCUUUGCUGGUUCUUCCACGUCUGCCUAGCCCUUAGUCAUUAUACCAGGUGGAGAUACUCCCAGAACUCUGCUGUGGACCUCUUUCUUUACACACUCUAUCCUGAAGUCCAUAGAACCCCAAAAGAUAUGUGGAUAGAAGCCCCAUGACCUUGGAUGGGGAAUAAAAGAUGUCUUUAUUUUCACAAGCAGCUGAAUGAAACGCCUCUUUUCCUUUAAUUCUAAAUGAAAGCUAUAAAUUAUAUUAGUUUUAGCCAUACCUGAGACUUUGUCAUGAGUAGAAAUAACCAGUAACUUCAUGUCACAAUACAGUUUUUGCAAGAAUCUUGAUAUCGUUUAUGUUCGCCAACUUUGAAAUCACAGGAGUUAUUAGACUUCAGAUAAAUCUUGAUAUUUAACAUUUUAAUGCGGAAGCACAUAGGUUGACUAUAUUGCGAAUUUAUUUUUGAAAUAUUUUUGGCAGUACAUAUUUCAGUACAAUUGUUUCAGUUUGUAAUCCAAUGCAUUGUAUUUAAAAACAUUUAUAUGACAAGGGUCUUUAGGUAUUAUGAGACUAGCAAAAUCUACAGAGUUAAAAAAAUAAAUUUAAAAAAGUUAAUAACUCCUUUUAUAUAUAUACUUGCUAAUAUUAU